GAGGCACAGGCGGAGUUGACGGGGGAGCAGCAGUAGUCAGCUCACCGUGGUGAAGACCCCACGGUAAGUCGAUCCAAGUACGUCAACUUCAACUAUGUUAUUUAUGUAGCUGAAGUUGUAUAACUUAGAUCGAUUCCCCCCCACACCCGCCGCAGUCCAACCCCACCCCAGUG